GUAUACGUAGUUUGUUGUAUUCACAAGGGGAGCAUGCACUUUGCAGGAUAGACCCUAACAUUUCCUGUGUGACUUAUCAACUACCGAUAAGCACUUGGACGUUAUUUUGGCAUGCUUACACUCCGUUCGAUUAGGGCUUUAGAACCGGUGGGCCCAUUGACUGUGCAGUAAAAUCUUCAAUAUAAGGAAAACAACUGAUCAUUCUUCAUAUUUAAGUUCACUCUGUAUAAGAAUGUGAUUCGGCGAAUGCGGUUUAAUUUUGAGGCACGAACAGGGGAUCUCAAUACAAACUUUUAAUCUUUAAUUGAAACCACAAACCGAACGGAAGAAACUUUCCAAAAUGAAAAGACAACUAAAUCAAAUCCCUGAAAAGGCACCAGCGGAGUAGGUCACAAAACAAGCGCCACGAUGAAUGUACAACUAUAGUUGUACUCUUUCAAAGUUUCCGGAAAAAAAAAGUAUGUGAAGGGUAAUUUCGUGUAAAACUGCCAUAAAGACAAACUCAGAGCGUACAGAAAAUGGUUUGAAAAGAGUUAAAACCCCAAAUGUUAGACAGUUGCGCCUUUUAAAGUGAGACCGUAGCUGCGACCAAGGACAACAAGACGGGAUUUUGUCUGACGAAAGUAUGGGGAUAUGUAAAUAUGUUCUAUUUAGCUGAUUGAGUGCACCAUUUACAGACUAAUCCCAUGUAUUUAAACAAGUGCGGACGAAUAUUUCUGAAGGUCAGUUGCGUUAAGUGCUUAAUAGAUAACUGGGCGAUAUUGAGGACUACGCACAGCCUGCAAGCGUUCACAUAACUAGUUUGGUGCACACACGUCAGAUAUCAUUGAAAGUUGGUGUUCCGUCUUCUGUAUGUGAUAUUUUACUGUACUCUUACAUCAUGCCUUAUUGAAAUAAAAUAGUUGCGUUGUAAUAUU